GAAAAUAAUACAGGUCAGAAACUCGGAUCUACAUGAAGAAAGGAAGAGCAUCAAAGAAGGGAUAAAUGAAGGAAAAUCAGAAACUUCGGGGGACCUAAAAUGUCAUCUCACUUGACUUGUGAAUGCACAGACUAUGAUCAGUGAAAAAACCUUUCAAAAGAAUGAAGAGUGUCGGGGGCUUCCCUGGUGGCGCAGUGGUUAAGAAUCCGCCU